UGUACUGCUGGAGUUCAUGGGGUGUCAGUUCAAGCUCUGGGAACUGAAGUAGCCGUCGUUGGUGCCAUAGUAUGUCUUCCGACAUGAACUCCCAAGUGUUGUUCCAAAGUUUUUGAGGGUCUGAGACAUGAUUGUAAAUGAGGAUUAAUACAAACAUUUGGCGAAGAUAUCUAGGGGAAGCAAAUUGGUAUGCUUCAGUCAUUGCAUCUUGCCAUUCUUUGUCUCCAUCUAGCAAACCUCUAGCUAAGCAUGCGGCUUGAAAUGUCUCAUAUUGAACACCCCCGAAAGUGUAUAAAUCCUCAUAGCAUGUGGGACCCUUUACGAAGCUGACCAAGAUUCUGAGGUAAUACUUAUCACCAGCAUUCGGAUGGAUGUUGACAAGCCUUCCAAUGGUUCCUUUUUGCUUGCGUUUGGAGUAAACCUUAUUUGAGUUGUCCCAAACAAACAUUGUAAGCAUCUCAAUGUAUUUCAAUUGUCUGGCCUCUUCGUACAGCCUAUUCAUCUCAAACCAUUCAGUAAAUGGACAGGAAACUUUUGAACUGCUGGGCUGUUAUGAUGGACAUCGAACAUAAAGAUUCUCCACAUAGAUUCACAAGCAGACAGAUGACUUGUUGCACCAUUCAACAUUAACAUGGGCCUUGUACUUCUUGAGUAUCUGUAGAUUAUGAGGGACCACAAAAGAAUUGUUCAGAGUGAUGUUUCCUUUCUUGACAACUCUAUCAGUCUGCCUCCGACGGUACAGAACAUAGCCAGAAUCAUUUAUUUGAGUGUGAGGAACGUAGCUUCGAGGGAAUUUCUUUGUACAUACACCAUUAUCCAUACAAGGCGAAGUUGAUCUAUCUUUGCCACAUGGACCAUGCAUCAUGUGCUGCUCCACCAAACUGUAACCUUCUGGAUCUGUUUCUUUGUCUGGUAAUUCGGCUGAGAUGAUUUUAUCUAUAUCAGCACUGGUUGGAUUCUUAAAAUCACCUUCUAACCAUAGUAGUAUAUGAGCAUGCGGCAAGCCUCGCUUCUGAAACUCUAUGGUGUAGACCACUGCAAUUAAAUUUUGAGUUUAUAAGAUUUAUGUUAGUUUAAAAACAUAGUGUUAACGUGCGUAUUGUUUUUAUUAACUUGUACCUGCUUUUGGGCUGGGAAAGAACAGACCCUUCUUGAAAUCUGACAUGAGCUCGUCUAGCUUCAUUUUGAACACUCUACAUUCUAGGUCAGGACGAUCGUUUGGUUCGUCAGUCCCAUACAUCUGUAGAUGGUUUGAGAUUUCUUCCCACUUUGGAUUUGUUGUCAUUGUAACAAACAAAUCAGGAUUUCCAAACCAGCGGCAUAUAGCCAUUGCGUCAUGAUACUUCUCUGCCAUGUAUCGUGGACUGCCUGUAUAAGAAGCAGUCUGAACCAGCGCAACCUCUCCUGCUCGAUGGAGGUGUAGGCGUCAACUAUAUAUUGAUGGAGUAAGCGCUUGGAGGUCACAAUAGUCAUGCCUUCAUUCAAUCUAGUUUGAAAUUGGUAAGCAAAGUACUCUCUCUUUGUCAUGUAAGAUCUUUGUCGAGUGAUCCCAUCAAUGCUGAUAAGUGGAAGGUUCUCGUUGAAUCCUGAUUGCCCAUAAGGAAACAAUAGAGGGUAUUGCAAAGUCAUAUAGAGAGGAUGCAUAUCACUGAUCUGUUGUAGUCCUGCUGAUCUGUGGUGUACAAUUAUAUCCCUAUCUCCUAUAUCCUCCGAUAGGUCUCCAACAAUCAAACCCGCAAUCUCAUCCGUGGUGGGCAUAUCAUACUGACGACCACGUUUUGGCUGAGCUAUUAAUCUGAUACUAAACUCUUGGCAAUCAGUCUGUUCAUGAAGAUCUCGAGCUUUCCUGAACAUUUUCGCUAAGCAAUUGUGGGCAUCAAUAGUUUCAAUCAGGAUUUUAACAAUAUCACCAUCCAGUUCCCCUGCUUUUGUUGUCCUCUUCACGGUUGAGAUUCUGUUUUUAAUCUCGUUAGCUGUAUCAAAAAUGUAAAGCUGGCUGAACUUGGGACGUUUCCCUGAUUGAGGAAGCAAUGAUCCAAUCUUGUGGGAAUUUUGGCCGUGUAUUCUAAAGGUGAAAGGUCCGGCUUUGUGCAUCACUGUCGAAUCUAUUUUGGCCCCCAUUGAUGUGAAUGCCAGGAUCGAAUUGUACGUCCUGAUAUUCUGUUGGAAGUGGAGAGAGCCGGAAAGGAGUUUUUUCAGAGCUUCAGGCGGGUGGGGUUCGGGCGGGAGCUUAACUCGACCCUGUUGACAGCAUACACUGAAGACGGGAGUUCUGUUUCUGCCUGUGGUGCCUUUCUUCUCCUGUUCCCAUACAAGAGCAUGACAAAAUGGGCAUUCCUGAAGCUCAUUAUCUUUACUCUUGCGUUUACGGGUGGGCUUUGCCUGCUUAACAGCUGAUGCGUCUGCAGGCAGAUGUGUCUGGGAGAAUUGGAGAACCUGUGAUUCAAGAGCUCAUGUCAUUACAUGAUAAGAAGAUAUAAAUGAUCGGGUCUAUGGUAAGAGAGUUCGAUGAUAAACCUUUUGGUUGGAAGACAGGACUCCUCAAUAUCCAAGUCACAAGUCAUUGCCGUUAUGUGAAAGGUUUGAUGGCAUUGAAGGGGGUAAAUGUGGUCUGAACAGAGGUCUGAAUAACAGUCCAAAAUGAGGUGUUAGUUAGAUAUUUAUUCUACAACUUUCUAUAUGUUCCUAUUGUUUGAUCUCUCAUACCUUGAUUUGGUGUUUUAAAUUAUGUUUUACACGACCAUCGGAGCUUUGUACGAACUUAUACCGUAUUUUGUGGGAGUAUAGUUAAUGGUUAUAUGUGAAGUUCGUUCUUGAUA